rnacentral:rRNA from 1 species
CCCUCGGGUUGUAAACUACUUUUAUACGGGAAGAAAAAAUACUACGUGUAGUAUACUGACGGUACCGUAAGAAUAAGGAUCGGCUAACUCCGUGCCAGCAGCCGCGGUAAUACGGAGGAUUCGAGCGUUGUCCGGAUUUAUUGGGUUUAAAGGGUGCGUAGGCGGAUUUUUAAGUCAGUGGUGAAAGCCUGCAGCUCAACUGUAGAAUUGCCAUUGAAACUGAAAAUCUUGAAUUUGGUUAAAGUAGGCGGAAUGUAUCAUGUAGCGGUGAAAUGCUUAGAUAUGAUACAGAACACCGAUAGCGAAGGCAGCUUGCUGAACCAAUAUUGACGCUGAGGCACGAAAGCGUGGGGAGCAAACAGGAUUAGAUACCCUGGUAGUCCACGCCCUAAACGUUGAUUACUCGUUGUUGGCGAUAUACAGUCAGCGACCAAGCUAAAGCGUUAAGUAAUCCACCUGGGAAGUACGACCGCAAGGUUGAAACUCAAAGGAAUUGACGG